UAAAAUGAUACUUAAAUCAGUUACAGUCUGUUUACCACAGCUAUAUAUUAACGGCUUAUAACUUAAGAUUAACUGACACAUAAAAUAAGUCAUUAAAAAUUCGUUAAAUCAUACCUGACGUAUAAUGCUCAUAUUCUAAACAUAUAAAGAAUGAUUCAAGAAUCGUUGAUUAAACGCUGUGUAAAGAAAAUAACGGAUAAUCAUGACGUUAAGAUAACGUACGGCAAGCUUUCUACAGUGAUUCUUGUACUAACCAUUUCGGGAGCAUCACUGGCUGGUUUAGCAAAACUGUUAAAUACUGCAUCAGAUAUAGCUGGAAUGCUCGGAACGGAAAAGUGUGGACAGAUACCGCAUGAAAACGAGUGCGUGAUUAACUGGUGUUAUCAUGGCAUGCUGAAGGGAAUUUACUGGAAAUACAUGGGAGUAUGCACGCAUCCUUGUACACAGGAAGUAGAGACCGUGUUUUAUCAAAGCAGAUGUGGCGCUGUUGAACAUUGUCUACAAAACCUAAUGACGAAAAUCUCAGAACACGAAAAAUAUAAAACACAGGAUUUAGAAGAACAUAUUAAACAUGAAGAAAAUGAAAAACAUAAGAAAUAUGAAGAACCUAAAAAACAUGAAGAGAUAUAGAAACAAACGUUUUUAUUUUUAAUUAGAAGGAUUUUGUUGAUUUGUCUAUCUUGUUAUCAAUGCAUAAAUAAUUUUGAAAAAAAAAUGGAUUGCCUAUUUUUCCCAGUUCCCAUUAAUUCAUAUUUUUGUUCGUCUGUUUGCAUAAAAUAUAUAUCAUUUUGUUAAUAUUUUCAUGUAUAUUAUGUCUAAUUAAUUUUUUACAUAUGAAUGUUGUGUUGUUAAUGUGUACUAUAUAAUGUAAUGAAACUGUGAAAAGUACGAAAACCUGCACCUUAAAAGUCCCAAACUUAUCUGGUCAUCUUCAACGUAGAUAUGACCUUCUGUAUUAGCAUUAGCUUAUCUUUAAGUUCAGACAUGGUCGCUCAAGAAAUGGUAAAAUGUAAAGUAAAUAAAUCACAAAUUAACUCUAAAUGAAAAAGAUUUGAAACGCAAUAAAAUUACAUUCGUCAGACAACUAGCCUAUGUAUUAGUAUGUAAAUUAUGAAUAUGCUUUUUAAUUAGUAAACCUACUCGCACAUGGUUGGUCGUAUGGGUUUUGGAGGAUGGCGACCGCAUUUUCUGACAUCAUUUCUUUUUUAUUUCUUGAAAAGAAAACUAAACACUAUAUAUAAUUCGAGCCACGGUUGGCAUGAAAUACAAUACUGCAUAAUAAACAGCAGUCUUUUCCUAAUUAAAUAAUGAUUCUGUUUUUUUUUUAUAAUCAUGUUAACGUCUUGCAUCUGUCUGUUGCCUUACAGACAUUUAUGUAAUUUACAAUGCACUAUUCAAAUGUAAUCCAUCGGCAAGAUAUUUUGUUACCGCAAGAUUUGACGAGGACAAUAACGUAGACAUUCUUUGAUGUUUCAAAAUUCCUAUCAAGUCUGACAUGCUAUUUAUAGAAAAUGCGUAAAUACAAUUCCCAAUAAUGUUUUACAUUUGGUUUAAAAUUAAAGUACAAAUAAUUUGAACUGCGUAAUACGUAAGGGGUACUAGAAGGGUAUGCUAAAUUUAAUAUAUGAAUUUGUAAAAUAUACCACACCGCAUGUCCACACGAAUUGUGUCGCAAAUGUAUCGGAUCCCUUUUUUGAGACUCAAAGAAAAACAUUUUUGUUCAGCCAUUCCUUGCGAAAUCAUCCUAAAUGUGGAUAUUUUUCAUUGGGUUCUACGUGGAAAAUAUCAUAUAUAAGGCCUAAAGUUUAAUGCGGUUCACCCAUGUAACACACAACAGGACUAUUUGAAUAUAAAAAAUAAGCAGGACAGUUAUCACUGGUCAGUCUAGAGAUGCAUAACCAUGUCUUGGUAUUUUUUCUUUUGAUUACCAUUUUCGCAGGUGCAGCACAGUGUGAUUUACAAAAAAUUCUAGAACGUUUAGCUGGUCCGCUCGGGUUGAAAGAUUCUGGAGAGAUAAAACGAGGGAAAGACUGCGUGAUUGACUGGUCGUUUGAAGGCAAGCUUGUUGGAUUUGAAUUGAAAUUUGAAGGCAUCUGCUCUGAUUCUUGUACAAAAGAAAAAGAGAUCGUUUAUUAUUCCAGUAGAAAGGGAACAAUAGAUCACUGUCUUGAAAAUCUAAAGAACAAAAUUGAAAAGCACGAAGAAUUAUGAAUCAUUUUCAUAAGACUUUGAACAGGUCUGAGUAAAAUGUUGAAAUCUUAUUUGUCAGUAUCCAUUUUCUGGUUUUGGAGUUAUGCUUCGGGAAAAAAGUGUUUUAACGCGUUGCAAAGAGACCAUUACUGUACACCAUCACCACUCCUCAUACUAACUUCAAAUGUAUAUAUGAUUGCAUAUGGUAAACGUGAUAGUUUUUCUCUUAAGUGUUUAUAUCUGAUUUUGUAAACAUUAUAGAGACCAUGUACAAGUAAAAUGUUCAGGUGUAUGGGAGAGUUUUAAACAAGCUUAGAUUUUUUCAACUAUCCUUUUUGUAAUUUACAUGUAUUUGUAACUGUAAAAGUAAAUUAAUAUGUAUGUUUCUGCUUUUAUAUGUUUCGUCAACUAUUUUUUGCAGUCAGUACCAGAUGCAUGACAUAUUUAAUAAGAAUAACAUCUGCAUCUUUUGAGUAUUUUUGAUGUAGAAAUGUCGGAUGAGACAUCUCUGCACUAAUGGUUAAAUAUUUAGAACUUGCCGCUCAAAUAUGUUUCGGUUAGGAUCGAGCUCUGUAUAAUAAACCUUGACCAAACACUG
rnacentral:lncRNA from 1 species